GUGGGUAUAGCUCAGGGGUAGAGUGUGUGCUUAGCAUGCAUGAAGUCCUGGGUUCAACCCCUAGUACCUCCA
rnacentral:tRNA from 1 species